rnacentral:lncRNA from 1 species
UUAAGUCCUGCCCCUUUUCUGUGACCCUUGCCUUGGGACCCAUGGGCUCUCUCUGAACUUGGACACUUAAGGGCUGGCCCUUCCACACUGCACUCAUCUCUAUCUGCUCUGUGAACUUGGGUGUAAGCACUGUCCGGGGUCCUCUGAUACCCUUAGGGAAUUCUGACACACCCAGGUUUGAGAAAGGCUUUGAAUCAAUGGCAUUUGAGGUGGUUUAUUCCCUAACUCAGGGAGGAAUUCAAGAAUCAGGCUUCCUUUGG